GGGCUGGUAUGGGAUCAAUGCUGUUUUAUUGUACUAGUAUUGCACUCGUCCCGGCCUUU
rnacentral:pre_miRNA from 1 species